GCCCCCGUGGCGGAACUGGUAGACGCGACAGACUCAAAAUCUGUUUCUCGCAAGGGAGUGUCCGUUCGAGUCGGACCGGGGGCACCA
rnacentral:tRNA from 1 species